GAUGAACGCUGGCGGCGUGCCUAAUACAUGCAAGUCGAGCGAACGGACGAGAAGCUUGCUUCUCUGAUGUUAGCGGUGGACGGGUGAGUAACACGUGGAUAACCUACCUAUAAGACUGGGAUAACUUCGGGAAACCGGAGCUAAUACCGGAUAAUAUUUUGAACCGCAUGGUUCAAAAGUGAAAGACGGUCUUGCUGUCACUUAUAGAUGGAUCCGCGCUGCAUUAGCUAGUUGGUAAGGUAACGGCUUACCAAGGCAACGAUGCAUAGCCGACCUGAGAGGGUGAUCGGCCACACUGGAACUGAGACACGGUCCAGACUCCUACGGGAGGCAGCAGUAGGGAAUCUUCCGCAAUGGGCGAAAGCCUGACGGAGCAACGCCGCGUGAGUGAUGAAGGUCUUCGGAUCGUAAAACUCUGUUAUUAGGGAAGAACAUAUGUGUAAAUAACUGUGCACAUCUUGACGGUACCUAAUCAGAAAGCCACGGCUAACUACGUG
rnacentral:rRNA from 1 species